rnacentral:rRNA from 1 species
CAACCUUGUCCUUAGUUACCAGCACGUUAUGGUGGGCACUCUAAGGAGACUGCCGGUGACAAACCGGAGGAAGGUGGGGAUGACGUCAAGUCAUCAUGGCCCUUACGGCCUGGGCUACACACGUGCUACAAUGGUCGGUACAAAGGGUUGCCAAGCCGCGAGGUGGAGCUAAUCCCAUAAAACCGAUCGUAGUCCGGAUCGCAGUCUGCAACUCGACUGCGUGAAGUCGGAAUCGCUAGUAAUCGUGAAUCAGAAUGUCACGGUGAAUACGUUCCCGGGCCUU